rnacentral:ncRNA from 1 species
CAUACUGUUUGGCAAACCUGCUGAAAGGCCGGGACGCAAAACUAUGGGUCUAAGAACACCUAGCGUGUUUACGAUUGCCAGGUCGCCUUC